ACUGUGAACUGAAUCCCCAUCCCAAAUUAUAUCACGUGGUACCACAUGCAGAUUGGAUAACAUUACAAUCAUGGUGAGAGCAUGAUGGGUGAAAUUGCUGGAUUAUCGGGUAAAGGUUUUUCACCUUGUGGAAACAAAUCGCUGCUAAACUGCAAAACCCUGGAAAUAAGCUGCUGACAUUAAAAGAAA